CUGCACUAAAAACUUCCACUGUUGCUAUUAUAUUUCCAUGUAGAGCCUAAUCAAGGACAGGUCCCUACUGAUGACUUCUGUCCCAUCAAUCUCACAGCUAGAGAUGGUGGGUAGCAAUCUGGCAUGUUUUUUCCUCACUGACCUCUCCCAGUUAGACAAACCUUCAUGAUUGUCGUGUUUUCUCUAGUAAAUUUUUCUGGUAAUUUUUUAGCUAGUGCUUUAAAACCAUGACAGUAAUGAAGGCUGAUUUCUGCACUCAGAUCUUCUUCUUCUACCAAGUCACUUUGUUUUCUAGGUUGUGUAGCCCUUAAUGUGCCACCAGCUCCUUCAACAGCUGGGUUUCUGGGCUUCUUUGGUGAGUAGCUGCAAGCCCAAGGACAGUAAGGUUUGAUCCAGAGUAGCCUUUUUGCUCUUUUGCAAACAUUUUCUGCUUUGCAGAACGGUCAGUUCUAUGUCUUGGCUUUCACCUCAGAGAGUGAGGCAUGAAAGAGAAGAACUGCUGUUCCUGUGAAAGCCCAGCUAGCUUGUAUCCUCAAUAAAGAGGAGACAAAGGCUUGGAAAGCCUUCAGUGUGCACUGUUCCAGGUGCUUGUUGUGCCCCCAGGAUGCUGUAGCUCACUCUGUGGAGAGAGCAGAGCAGACCCAGGUCCUCCCACUGUCUCCUUGCACGGCAGCAGCAGUUGUGGCAUCACAGCAGGGCCCUGUCCCUGUGCUGUUGGUCACAUUGGUGGUGAGAAACAGGCUCCUUCACUGAUGGAUGCACACACCAAGCACCCAUGUCAUGGGAAGGGCGUGGAUGAGCUCCUGACAUGAGAUAUCUCCUUCAGUGCAGCUCUAAGAGGAAAGGGCCUAAGGAUGGAAACAGCCUGAAUAUGUAUUAAGAUGAUGCACACCAAAGCAAGAUGAAUGCUGCCUUUCAAACCUGGAGUAUGUUGCAGAACCCUUCCUGUUGACACGAAGAAAAGGAUGUGUUUGAGAGAAAUUUCCAGCAAGAGAGAAUCAUCAAGGCACCACAUCUGGAGCUCAGAGACCUGUGCUCAGUUUUCACCUCUGACAAGCUCUCUCGACUCAGUGUGAGCAAUUUGCUUCUCCUUGGAUUGCAUCUGCAGAUAGAAAAUGAGGCCUCUCCCAGGGCAGGAUGAGCAGAAGUGUUGAAAGACUACAUUAAUCUUUGUGGGGUGCUCAGACAUGGCACACCAAGUACCUGGAUAGAGAGCUGACAGACAGGACCAGGCAAAUUACUGAUUGCUUUCCUUCAGCUCAGGCUUUUUUGGAUUGCUUUGUGACCUGUUAUGCAGGAAAACACCAAGAUGCAUGUGUUAACUAUUAAGUAUGUGAUUGUAAAAUAUAGAUUUGUCUGUGACAGAACCAUGCUAGAAUGAUAAAGAGAAGCUUCAUUUUUCUGCUCUAUUGCUUUUCUUCACACAGCAGGGUAAAGAGUGAUCACGUGAAGAUUUGAAAAAUUUUGUGCAGAGGCAAAUGAGAAGAAAUUUCUGAAUUCUGUCAAUAAUACCUUUCCAGGAUGUGAACUCCCCCUGAUAAAAUUCAUAGUGGGCUAGAAUAAAACACG
ensembl:lncRNA